CCUUAAUGAUGAUAAUAUAGAUGACGAGACUGAUAAUCCAUUCAUAACCUUGAUGUUAACUGAGGCAUUUGUCUGAGAGGA